UGAGCCUGGGGCAGAGACUGAGGUGGGGCUCAAUGUGGCGAUGGUAGAAGAGGUACCCAGGCCUCAACCACUGGACAUCCCUGGCCUCUCAGGCAUAGAGGGAAUGGGGGCCGAGGCCCCCAGAGCAACUAGAUUUGGUCUCCUGUGACUCUCUAUUCUUCCUUAGGGUUGAGGAGGGGUCUCUGAGUUGUGGGGCUGGUGCAGCUAGAAGGUGUGAAGAUGGGAAGAAGGUUCAGUCACUCUCAGCCUGGAAGCCAUGGAAUUCACCAAAGUCACUGUCGUAGGAUGCACUGAGGUGUCCCCAGAGACAGCCUUGUUGCAGCCCUUUUGGACCUCAUAGUGGAGUUUCUGUUCCAGGCAAGCCCCAGGAAGAAGGAGAGGACAAGCACAGAGCUAGCUGAGAAGCUGCGGCCCAGGCGGCAUCAGGUUCUCUGCACACUGCACCGUGGUCCUGUAGCCAGUGCAGGCUGCCUCUGCCUCCCACCACGGGUCCCCCAUGAACCUCCAGCCACCGAGCCACCGGUUUUCGUCUGCAGGUCUAUAUAUAGCGAUGGAGAUGCACACUCUGGAAUUGGAUUUGAUGGAGCCCUCUGGACUGAAGCUAACUUUUGGGGAGUCGUUUUCUUGGGAGCCUGCCAGUCCAAUUCCUCCCUCAUGAACACUAAUUACCGUACAGACCUUCUCCAUGAAAUCCGUGCUGAAGCCAUUUCCAUCCAGGCGGCUCUCCAAGACGAAAUUUUUCUACAGGGAACCGACAGCCGCAAAUAAACCUACCAUCUACUUAGCAA